GAGUCUGUAAGGACAAACAAGUCCAGGAGUAUUAAUAGGAAAUAUUAAGUGAAAUGUUAUGAGUUUGUAAGUACAAACAAGUCCUUGUUUGUUAAAAUGCAAUAUUAAGUGACACACAAAAUGAAACUAAAAAGCAUGAAGCAAUGUGUGCAGUGGUGAUAAGAGUUUGAGCUGGUGAAUAAGUGUGACGUAACUAUAUGAUAAGCAGACAUGUGUGUUAAUCUAGAAUUAAGAAAGUAAGUAGCCACAGAAAAGUAUAAAAACUUGAGGCUCACGGCCAGAAGACAUUCUCAAAAUGACUUGCCAGACACACUGUCAGAAACAGUCAUAGAGAAUCCAACGAACCAGCAACUUGACAGCUGAGACCAUCCAAGAGCCAGAGAACUAGCUCUUGCCUGCAGAUCAAGACUUACUGACUUGCUGACUUGCUGAUAGAUCUUCCAAGAGCCAGAGAACUAGCUCUUGCCUGCGGAUCAAGACUUGCUGAUCCAGAGGUCUACGCUGAGAGCCACGGACCAUUAUCAGGUCGUAUACACCAAUGCCUCAGUAAGAUAGGAUAGAAGACCUUGCCUAGGACAUAGGAACCCUUGCUGAAUGUGUGAUGUGAUUGAAUGUGUGAUGUGAUUGAUUGGCUAGGAUUGUUAUAGGUUUGAUGUUUACUUAUAUCUGCCAUAGGAAUAAUUAGAGAUUUAAAUGAUUGUUAUAGUUUUGAUGUUUGCCUACACCUGCUAUAGUAACAACUGGAGAUUUGACUAUUGGCAUAAUAAACUUGUUCCUAGAACAAACACUGUGGUCAUCCUGAGUAUUUACUUGCAAACCUCUAAGUAAGGGCAGAAUGCCUGCUCAGGAAUAAGGCUCGCGACACACACACACUGAAAUGCCUCUUUAAAACAUAAUGGAAGCAUAAGAAUAUGUGUAUAUUCUCAAAAUAAUGCCAUCUCCAAGUGGAGUUCAGGAGCCGAGUAAGUAAAGCUUGCAGGAACAGUUCAUACAUGCAUGUGACCAUGAAGGGUGUUGGUAGGCACUGACUGCUAGCAUAAGUCACUCAGAUGCCGUGGAACUCUAGGCUGAGUCAAAGCUUGGGCUGCUUUUCAUUUAACAAAUGCUUAAAAGAAUUUUUGCAUUGUAAUAUGUAGGUUGCAGCAAAGACCUGCUCUCUCUCAUUUUCCUCCCAGCCGCGUGAGGGAAAAGAAAGGUCUGUGAUUACUUUACAGAGGAAAGUGAGGGAAAAUGCUUCACCUUGAGCGCUGUUAUGACAGCUUCAGGAUAGGACAGCCCGACCAUGUGGUAGCUCUUCCUAUACAUCCUAGGAAAGAGGGGAAAUUGCACCAUUAGCAUUCCUUCGCUCCACACCUUCAGCUGUGUUUCUCAAAAACCAAGGAAAGACAACUCUAGAUCUCUUCCUGUGACAAAGUUUUCUUUAAGUCAUCGUGGGAUUUCACGUGGGUGAUCAGCACAGCAGCAACCUUCUUACUGAAGCCUUCAGGAAGGUUUACAACAAAAGGCUUUGAUUAAUUACCCCCUGGAGCUAAGUAUAAUUACUCCAACUCUUAGGAGAGUACUAACCGCACAACAAAGGGUUCAGCAAGCCCUGACUGUUCAUGAAGAAGACCCUUCCUUGUGGAUUCUGAGGAAACAGGCUUUUUUAAAAAAUUUUUUUGUUUUAUUUAUUAUGCAUAUAGUAUUCUGUCUGUGUGUAUGCCUGAAGGCCAGAAGAGGACAUCAGACCCCAUUAUAGAUUGGGGGCUGGAGAGAUGGCUCAGAGGUUAAAAGCAUUGCCUGCUCUUCCAAAGGUCCUGAGUUCAAUUCCCAGCAACCACAUGGUGGAAACAGUCUUUAUCUACCUAUCUUUCCAAGGAUUGUCCUGAAGAAAAGAGCGAGGGGUUGAGAAGGAGCAAUGAACAGGGAAGUGAUCAACACAAUAAGGACCUUUAAAGCAUUCAGUAGUAUCGGAUCAGUGUGAUUUCCUGGCACAGGAGGGACGGGAGGCUGUGAAGGCUACAGAACCCAAGCCUUGAAUCUUCAGUUAGCUGAUUGGUAGCUAUGCGGCAUUUGGAACAAUCUUUAAUAGUUCAUUUUUUAAAAGGAGAAUCCCAAGCUUUCUGUGAAGACUAAAGAAAUAAAUGCUGGGUAAAAUCUAGCACCGAGGUUCCUCGACUUGGAAAUAGGCUUUGAAUGUGAGCAUCACUUACAACAUGGAAUGAAAAGAGGCAAGGAUGAUUGCCCUCUAAAAGCAAAUUUAAAAAUUUCCAAAAUUUUUUAAAAAAAGUUCUCUAUUAUGUUAGCCCUCUGUCCUAUCAUCAGGGAUAGAAAUAUAAAAUUAAAAAUUUUAUAUUAGAGCAAAUAAAACAGAAAAGCAACACAACCGCUCCAGAAAUGCAAGGGAUUACAGACAUCUUCACCAACGCCUUCCGUCUCAUUAAACAAGUCAUGUGCCAUACAUGCAGGAGAAAGACUAAGGAGUUUCCUGGAAUCCAGUAGGAGGUAAAGCCCAAGUGAAACUCUCAGGGAUUAUUUUUGAAGGUUUCUCUAAAACUAUGAGAUAUAACUCCAAGCCUUUAAAGAAACCAAGACACCACUUCUAUUCUCAUUGCUGUCCCAGGUAGCAUCUGGACAAACAAUUGCCUGCACCUGCUGAGUCUUGGGAGAGCGACUUUGUAGGAGAAGCAAGGAGACUUCUAGUUCCAUAUUGAAAGUAAUUACUUUUGAAAAAUACAAGAUGAAUAAUGUCAAUAAUGGGUAAUUGAUAUUGAUAGAUCAAGAUUUUCCUUCUACACUCACCAAGCAUGCUAAUUUACAAUAGUUAAACUUUUAUUUUAGUUACCUUCUGCAUGUUGUGAAAUUUCUAUUUAGAAAGGAAGCUUGAUUUGUAUGAUAUUUCAUAUGAAAAAAAAAUAGAAACUUACCAGGUCCAUGCAUGAAUCUGAAUUCAUAACCUUGUCUCAAUGCAUGCACAUUCAGUUGGCUCUCAUCCAUACUUUGCUUUGCCUUUCAGUUUUCACGGCUUGCAAACUUUCUAACAAGGAAGAUAACUUAUAUUCCCACAGCAAGCUAAGCAUGGGGCUUCACCUGAGACUCUGUGCAACACUACUUAGAUGUUUUUAAUUUGAUGCCAUGGGAAAUCAAUAAUUCUCACACAAAGGCACACUCUCCUCAGCCCAGCAUGCUGGCUUCAGACUUCUGUCAGAAUAAGUCUAUACAUCAAAGAAGGUGAUGCCCUGUUACUAACUAGAAUAUCUUUAGUUUUCUAUUAAGGUUUUAGUUGUUUUUUUUUAAGUCAAUCAGAUGGGACUGAGAAGCUAGUUGAGUGAUUUGGAUAAUAACUCACUAGAUGAGCUUUCAGGGUGUAUCUUCCUGAAACAAGCUAUUGAAAGGGUUACACUAUGGUCCUAACAUCUUUAAACUGAAUUUGCAAUAGGACUCUUUUAUGCUUACGUUUACAUUACAUUUUGAAAUUACACUUACAUUUUGAAAAUCAAAAGUAUCUUUUCCAUCAUUUUUUUUGACUGGAAACGAGGCUUCAAAAUAUCGAAAGAUGAAAACAGUGACCAGAAUUCACUUAAAUGUAAGGGUGCCGAGGCUGAGCUUGGUGACAUAAGCCUGUAGUCCUAGCUCUCCAGAAACGAGAGCCAGGAGAGCUGAAAAUUCAGGGCCAGCCUGACCUAACCAGUCACUGUCUCAAAAACAGUGCCCUGUGGAUCUCUGUGAGUUUGAGGACAGCCUGGUCUACAAGAGCUAGUUCCAGGACAGGCUCCAAAGCUACAGAGAAACCCUGCCUCGAAAAACAAAACAAAACAGUGCCCUGAAGUAUAAUAAUUGCCCAUCCUUCAAUCUGGUCAGUUUCAAAAAACAUUAAAAUUGCCACUUUACAUAUAACUAAACACAUUACUUUUUAACGUGAGAAAUUCCUGAUAAAUGCUUCUCAAUUUUGCCAGACAUGUUUAUACUCAGUCAUUCUGAGACAUCUCAUUUCAGAGAAAGAAAAGUAGUCUUUUCUCUAAUGAUUUAAAAACAUAUGAAACUUGGCCCUAUGAAUACGUGCAGAUGCUGGAAACUCUGGUGACCUCCGUGAUACGGGGACUUCUUUCUGUGACACGAAAGCCUAAUUCCUCCAAAGUGGAAGUGAGAGAGAUGUGAUCUCACUAUGGAAACAGGAAGAGGGAAGUCUUCAAUUUAGGCAAAAAAAAAAAAAAAAAAAAAAGAAUCAUUUGACUUUGAAAUAAAGAUUACUGCCUAUUAUAGGAUUCAUUUUAUGGGUUAUUGUAAUUUUUUCAUAUGAAAUUGAGUGAUAACCCAUGAACAUAUUAGGACUGUUUGUAAACGGCUAUCUACAAAGGUGUGUUUCCAGUGGGAUAUGUAUCAGUCUCUCUUUCAGCCUAUUAGAAAAAAAGAGAAGACAUCAAGACAAGGUGCUUUUGUUGUGGCCAUGGCCCUCACAAGUGCAAACUGUCCGCUCCGGUUAGACUUGGGACGGUAAGUGUCCUCUAGCGACUGUGUAGUAUGAGCCCUCAGGACUUCUACGUACCAAACGCGCGUGCUGCCCUUUUGAAUUCUCUUUCCUCGGGACACGAACCAUGCCGCUUACCUUUCCACAAAAAUGCCAGCCUGAACCGCGUGGACGAUGCUUCGAAACUUGGGUUUUUCCUCAGGUUUCUUCUUGAUCACCCCCAUUUUCCGCGUGAAGGUGGAAGCCAGCCAGUCCCGGACUUCCGAUGGGACUGAGUCAAUCUGAAUGUCGCUGAGCUCAUCUUCGGGGUCAAGAAGUCUUCUACAAACACACGCAGAGAUUAAAAACUGUAAAAACAAGGUCAGCGAGAUGGCUCAGCAGGUAAAGGACUUGCCAUGAAGACCUGAAGACCCAAGUGCAGCCCCCAGAACCCAUCGGAAAGAGAAAACAGACUCCUGAAAAUUGUCAUGAGACUGACCUUCAUGUGUGUAUUGUAGCAUCCACGCACGUGCACACACACACACACACACACACACACACACACACACACACAUCAUAUACAUUCAUCUGAGCAAUAAUAAACCAAACUGCAAAAUAAAGAAAAAUGGUUGGAGUUCUCUCUUAGUA